AUUGAACGCUGGCGGCAGGCCUAACACAUGCAAGUCGAGCGGAUGAAGGGAGCUUGCUCCUGGAUUCAGCGGCGGACGGGUGAGUAAUGCCUAGGAAUCUGCCUGGUAGUGGGGGAUAACGUCCGGAAACGGGCGCUAAUACCGCAUACGUCCUGAGGGAGAAAGUGGGGGAUCUUCGGACCUCACGCUAUCAGAUGAGCCUAGGUCGGAUUAGCUAGUUGGUUGGGUAAGGGCCUACCAAGGCGACGAUCCGUAACUGGUCUGAGAGGCUGAUCAGUCACACUGGAACUGAGACACGGUCCAGACUCCUACGGGAGGCAGCAGUGGGGAAUAUUGGACAAUGGGCGAAAGCCUGAUGCAGCCAUGCCGCGUGUGUGAAGAAGGUCUUCGGAUUGUAAAGCACUUUAAGUUGGGAGGAAGGGCAGUAAGUGAAUACCUGGCUGUUUUGACGUUACCAACAGAAUAAGCAACGGCUAACUUCGUG
rnacentral:rRNA from 1 species